AUGCAGCACUUCUUCCUCUUCCUCUUGCUCCUCGUUUUCUUGCUUCCCCAUGAAACCAGCUACUCCGCGGCCGCAGCUUCCGGCGGCGGUGACAGGUGCAGCCGCCGGUGUGGCGGUGCCACCGUCCCAUACCCUCUCGGAUUCUCCCCCGGCUGCCCCAUCGCCCUGUGGUGCGACGCCAGCAUAUCCACGCCGAUCCUCCCAUACAUAGGAGAGAACGGCACCACGUACCGCGUGAUAGCCUUCAACUCCACCAUCUCCACCGUCGUUGUCGGCCUCCCGCCGUCGUGCAGCCGCAGCGUCCCCGAGGCCAGGAGGGUGCUCUCCGGGGGCAACUACGGCGUGUCGUCUCGCACCGGUCUUUUCCUCCGCGGCGGCUGCGGCGGGGUCAACGCGUCGGCGGGCGCUGGAUGCAGCGUGCCCGUGGGCGUCAUGUCCAGGCUGCUCCGCACGGCGCAGUGCGUCGGCAUCAGCAACGACACCUCGCCCGCCGCUGUGGCGUGCGUCGCUUCCGCUGCGCCAAACUCCACCGCGGCGGUGCAUGGCCAGUUUCUGCGGUGGGAGAAGGUCGAGAAGCAAAAGUGCGACGACGUGCUGACCUCCACGGUGUUCGUGCUCACGGCGGAGGGGACGGCUACGCUGGAGUUCGGCGUGGCCGAGCUCGGCUGGUGGCUCAACGGGACGUGCGGCGCCGGCGGGGGCGAGCGUUGCGCGGCGAACGCGUCGUGCACCGACGUAAAAACGCCUAGCGGGGAGUUGGGGCACCGGUGCGGGUGCGUGGCGGGGAUGGAGGGCGACGGCUUCUUGGCCGGCGACGGAUGCUACCUCGGUGGAUCCCCUCAUGAUGUUGUCUCAAGCUCCAAGGUGCGGCAAAUAUUCAUAGUUAUUGGCUUGAUAUCUUCUCUUGGCAUCACUGUCUUCUUCUUCAUCUAUGGCCGGAAAAGGCGCAAUGCCCUGAUGAAGACAACAAAACAACUACCCAAAAAGGCAGCCAUAUUCUUCAAUGGGGAAGUCAUGGAGGACGAGCUAGAGCAAGGAGCCAGCGGCCCCCGGCGAUUUUCCUACAGUGAGCUCGCCGUCGCCACUGAUAACUUUUCAAAUGACAUGGCACUCGGGAGAGGAGGCUUCGGGUAUGUAUAUCAAGGGUUUAUUAGUGACAUGGACCGUGAAGUGGCUGUCAAGAGGGUGUCUGAGACCUCUCGACAGGGUUGGAAGGAGUUCGUCUCUGAGGUGCGGAUCAUUAGUCGGCUCAGGCAUCGAAACCUUGUGCAGCUCAUAGGCUGGUGCCACGGUGGAGACGAGCUUCUCCUCGUCUACGACCUGAUGCACAAUGGCAGCCUCGACACUCAUUUGUAUAGAUCCGACCAUGGGCUGACAUGGCUGAUAAGAGGCGGAGCAACGUGUGGUGCACAGGGACAUCAAGCCUAGCAACAUCAUGUUAGACGCCUCCUUCACAGCCAAGCUCGGUGACUUCGGGCUCGCGAGGCUCAUCAACGACGGACGGAGAUCGCACACGACCGGCAUAGCUGGCACGAUGGGGUACAUCGAUCCAGAGAGCAUGCUGGCCGGCAGGGCGAGCAUCGAGUCAGACGUGUAUAGCUUCGGGGUCGUCCUUCUCGAGGUUGCAUGUGGGCGGCGACCAGCUUUGGUCCAGGAAGACGGUGAUGUCGUCCACCUGGUCCAAUGGGUGUGGGACUUGUAUGGCAGAGGAUCAAUCUUUGGCGCUGUCGACAAGCGACUUAGGGGGGAGUUUGACGGCACGGAGAUGGAGCGUGUUAUGGUCGCGGGGCUCUGGUGCGCGCACCCUGACCGUGGCAUGCGACCAUCCAUCAGGCAAGUGGUGAACAUGCUGCGGUCCGAAGCGCCAUUACCAAGUCUCCCGGCGAGGAUGCCGGUGGCGACCUAUGGGCCGCCGACUAAUCAUUCGAGUUUUGGAACUUUGCUGAUGACCAGUGUCAAUGGCCGGUGA
rnacentral:rRNA from 1 species